CGGCGAGUCGCGUGGGUGGUGCGGGAAGCAUCGGGGGCCAUCCGCCGCCAUCCUUCGUCGCUGGGGCUCUCCCGCCGCAUCGGCGUCCUGUGGGCAUCGCGCCCGGCUGCCGCGCUUCAGUGCGUGCCGGAGGCUGCGAAGGGCAGCGCGGCCUUGCCCCCGCCUUCCUCCUCAGGCCGGGCCUGGCCCCGGCAGCAUCCUGGCAUAGAAGGUGAUCCCAGGGCAUGGAAUGGCAGGGGUCCUGGGUGUUCCAGAACUCACCCAUCUGAUGGAUAAAUGCAGCAGUUAUCCUGUGGAAAAAGGUGAGAACCUGUGAGCCAUGUCCCAAGGGCUUCGGCUUGCUUCCCAUAGGACCCAAAUUGUGGGGAAGCUGCAGUAUGGAUGGAGCCUGUCAAAGUAGAGGGUGAGCCAUCCCUGUGAGACUUGGUGCUGCAAUCCCAGGUUGUUCUUUCCCAGCCUUCUUCAGAAGUGGGGGUUCUGCAGAGCCAGAUCCUGGCUCCUUCCUGAGCUGUGAGCUCUACCCAGUGGGAUCAGCGUCUUCUGGGCUCCACUCAUCUGCAGUGGAGAGAGAUGGAGGUGAUUUGGCUCCGCCUGUUGGACAAACUCCUGUUCAGAUGCUCCACAUGGAAGAACAGUCUGUUCCAUAGAGUUUUCUCAGGAGGGCGUCUAGUUAUCGAAUACUUGGGUAGUGCAAGGAACUAAAGCCAAGGUGGGUGGUGGGUUUGAUCCCUGUGUGGGCCAUUCACUUAAGAGCUGGACUCAAUGAUCCCUGUGGGUCCCUUCCAACUUGGAAUAUUCUGUGUGUGUGAUACGAGUUGGAAUAAAUGCAAUUACUUCGAA